ACUUGGUGGUAAGGACAUUUCUUUUGCAUAUCCUUAAAUAAUUCCCAUACCUCAUGUAAAGUUUCCUCUUCAUAUUGUUAGAAACUAGUAAUGCCAUUCUGCAAUUU
rfam:Gossypium raimondii chromosome 2, whole genome shotgun sequence.